CCGUACGCGAACCGUAGAGAAUGGAAACGGAGGAUCGAGUCGCUUGCUACUGCGCAGAUCGAGCUUAUUGCUAUUCUGUGUGAAGACGACGAAGAUGGAGACACACGUGGCAAAGCGCCGGUUGUUGAUAUGUGCUCAUCUAAAGGCAUUUUGGGUCGGGAUGGGAGCUGCACUGAGGUAUGGAAGGUGUCACCUGAAACCACUGUGGUCAACAAGACCAGCGAGGCCAGCCUCCUCCCUCUCCUCGCCACGUGGCAGAAAUCUGAGGACAUGGCGCAGAAAAUCUUCUAU
rnacentral:misc_RNA from 1 species